GUCGGAGAAGAGUCCUUUUGUUGGUAAAACAAAUUAAGAACCGCUUCUCCUCUCUACCGUCUUCCUAUCUAAGCAACCUCUCAGCUCUCUCUCUCUCUCUCCCCCCUGUGUUCUUUCUCUCUUUCUUCAGGCGCCGCACAAUCUUCAAUUUCUUCUCUCUUCAUUUUCCCUGUCUUUCUUAGAUCCAAUGGUCUAAGCUCAGUCAAGGUUACCAUAUACCACUCAUUUUGACUUACCCACAUCACAAAACUUGGAAUUUUCUAUGAAAUCGACUUCAAACUGAGUGGGGCCUUCCUUCAAAUUCUGUAUAUUGCUGGCUGCUCACUUGAAAUUGCAUUUGGAAUCUUGGGUUCUUGUCAUUUUUUUUUUUACUUCAGCCUAUUGAAGUUGGUGCUGAAUUGGGAAUCUAUGCAGAUAUGGUGGUUUUUUUGAUAUUCGGGUGAACCAGUGAAAAUUUGAGGGAUUUUGUGCGUACUGUUACUUAGUUACAGCCAUGGCGACUCUGAGCUGGAGAGACUCCUACAAGGGUAUGUCCUCUGAUAAUAUCAAGGGGUUGGUCUUGGCUUUAUCUUCGAGCUUCUUUAUCGGUGCCAGCUUCAUUGUCAAGAAGAAGGGAUUGAAAAAAGCUGGUGUCUCUGGUAUCAGGGCAGGAAGUGGAGGCUAUUCUUACUUGUAUGAACCACUUUGGUGGGUGGGCAUGAUAACAAUGAUUGUUGGGGAAAUUGCUAAUUUUGCUGCCUAUGCUUUUGCACCUGCUAUAUUGGUCACACCCCUUGGUGCUCUGAGCAUUAUUAUAAGUGCGGUUCUUGCACAUAUUAUUUUGAAUGAGAAGCUACAUAUUUUUGGAAUUCUUGGUUGUGCUCUUUGUGUUGUGGGUUCUACAACAAUUGUUCUGCAUGCUCCUCAAGAACGUGAGAUUGAAUCUGUUAAAGAAGUUUGGGAUCUUGCUACAGAACCUGCAUUUCUUUUCUAUGCAGCUUUGGUCUUAACUGCUGUGUUUAUACUUAUAUUCCACUAUAUCCCUGACUACGGCCAGACACAUAUAAUGGUUUACAUUGGAGUUUGUUCUCUUGUUGGCUCUUUGUCGGUUAUGAGUGUUAAAGCACUUGGAAUUGCUUUGAAGUUGACAUUUUCAGGAAUGAAUCAGCUAAUGUAUCCCCAAACAUGGGCUUUCACUUUAGUUGUAAUUACUUGUGUGCUUACCCAAAUGAAUUAUUUGAACAAGGCACUUGAUACAUUUAACACUGCUGUCGUAUCUCCCAUAUACUACGUUAUGUUCACAUCGCUUACCAUUGUGGCUAGUGUAAUCAUGUUCAAGGUAAAUUUUCUGCCAAUUGACACAAUCAACUUGAUCUGAAUGAUGAGUCACGGUAAAAUUGCCUCAUUCGAGUACAUUCUUGAAAAUAAUCCAGAAAAGUGCUUGAAGGAAAAACAAAAAUCUGCAAAAUGAAAAGAUUGGCCAAAGCAGUUUUGUGAGAUGAUAUAUUUGGCGUUUCACAGUUGGGACCUCCCAAAAGGUUUAGGUGCUUUUGGAUUUCUAAUGUGAACCUUGUUUCAUGGUUGCUAUCACUGGCGCUUAUUCCCGGGCACUAUUAAACUUGUCAUUGAAAUGACUGAUCUAGGCUUUACAGAAUAGAAUGUGGCAAAAAUCCAUGUAGUGCCUUGUGCCUUCUGAAGCUAAGAAUUUUGCAAAAUUUUUCUUUAUGUUUUAGUUUAUGUUGGACCCUGCCAUUUUCAGUUUGAUUUUAUUACGUUUUUGGCUUAUACAGUUUGGUCUACUUAUUAUUAUUAUCAGUAUUAUUAUUAUCAUUUUCUUCUGUGUAACCACAAGCAACUAAUUUUCAAGUUUGGUUUUCUUCUUAGGAUUGGGACAGGCAGAGUCCAACUCAGAUUGUUACAGAAAUGUGUGGGUUUGUGACUAUCCUUUCAGGAACGUUUCUUCUUCACAAGACAAAGGAUAUGGUUGAUGGUAUGGUUGGCAUUAAUUUUUGUCAUCAUCAUAAUUAUUGUUAUUAUUAUUAAUCUGCAAUAUUUCAUUGUUCACCAAGUUAUCACUCUUCAUUUUUUACUAACAUGCAUUUGCAACAUGUUGACUAGGUUUCUGAUUGCUAUAAUCAAAGUGAAAUGCAUGUUAAUGUCAUUCUUAACUUAGAUUCAUGUGUUGAAAUGAGAUUCAGGGUCAAUGUCUCUGCUUGUGCGACUCCCUAAGCACACAGAAGAGGAUGGCUACGGUGCCGAAGGCAUCCCUCUUAGGCGUCAGGAGUCAUUAAGAUCACCAAGAUCACCUCAAAUUUGAUAUAUUCAUCAGCUUGUUCUGCAAUCACUAAAGAAUUGAUAUUUUGGGGGAGAGACUA
rnacentral:misc_RNA from 1 species